UACGUAGGGGGCAAGCGUUGUCCGGAAUCAUUGGGCGUAAAGAGCGUGUAGGCGGCUCGGUAAGUCCGCUGUGAAAGUCCAGGGCUCAACCCUGGAAUGCCGGUGGAAACUGGUCGAGCUAGAGUCCGGAAGAGGCGAGUGGAAUUCCUGGUGUAGCGGUGAAAUGCGCAGAUAUCAGGAGGAACACCAAUGGCGAAGGCAGCUCGCUGGGACGGUACUGACGCUGAGACGCGAAACGUGGGGAGAAACAGG
rnacentral:rRNA from 1 species